GCACAGCGAAAGGUGCUUGCACCUUUCAAGUGAGUGGCGAACGGGUGAGUAACACGUGGACAACCUGCCUCAAGGCUGGGGAUAACAUUUGGAAACAGAUGCUAAUACCGAAUAAAACUCAGUGUCGCAUGACACAAAGUUAAAAGGCGCUUUGGCGUCACCUAGAGAUGGAUCCGCGGUGCAUUAGUUAGUUGGUGGGGUAAAGGCCUACCAAGACAAUGAUGCAUAGCCGAGUUGAGAGACUGAUCGGCCACAUUGGGACUGAGACACGGCCCAAACUCCUACGGGAGGCUGCAGUAGGGAAUCUUCCACAAUGGGCGAAAGCCUGAUGGAGCAACGCCGCGUGUGUGAUGAAGGCUUUCGGGUCGUAAAGCACUGUUGUAUGGGAAGAACAGCUAGAAUAGGGAAUGAUUUUAGUUUGACGGUACCAUACCAGAAAGGGACGGCUAAAUACGUGCCAGCAGCCGCGGUAAUACGUAUGUCCCGAGCGUUAUCCGGAUUUAUUGGGCGUAAAGCGAGCGCAGACGGUUGAUUAAGUCUGAUGUGAAAGCCCGGAGCUCAACUCCGGAAUGGCAUUGGAAACUGGUUAACUUGAGUGCAGUAGAGGUAAGUGGAACUCCAUGUGUAGCGGUGGAAUGCGUAGAUAUAUGGAAGAACACCAGUGGCGAAGGCGGCUUACUGGACUGUAACUGACGUUGAGGCUCGAAAGUGUGGGUAGCAAACAGGAUUAGAUACCCUGGUAGUCCACACCGUAAACGAUGAACACUAGGUGUUAGGAGGUUUCCGCCUCUUAGUGCCGAAGCUAACGCAUUAAGUGUUCCGCCUGGGGAGUACGACCGCAAGGUUGAAACUCAAAGGAAUUGACGGGGACCCGCACAAGCGGUGGAGCAUGUGGUUUAAUUCGAAGCAACGCGAAGAACCUUACCAGGUCUUGACAUCCUUUGAAGCUUUUAGAGAUAGAAGUGUUCUCUUCGGAGACAAGUGACAGUGUGCAUGGUCGUCGUCAGCUCGUGUCGUGAGAUGUGGGGUAGUCCCGCACGAGCGCACCCUUAUUGUAGUGCAGCAUCAGAUGGGCACUCUAGCGAGACUGCCGGUGACAAACCGAGAGCG
rnacentral:rRNA from 1 species